UAAGUGGGAACUUUUCUGUAGUUUUAGCAAAUUACCAAAUAAAUGUUCAACUUUCUGUUGCAGGUUUCCUGAUAAAUCAAAGCAGAGAGACCUUUACCUGGAGUGGGUCAGGCUAUGUAGACGGACAGUGGACCCCAGUAAUACUGCUCUCGUAUGCAGUGCUCACUUUCGUCCAAGUAUGGUAAAUACUACCAUGCAUCAUGCACAGCUACGUGAGGGAGCAAUUCCAGAAUUGGUUGAUCUACCAAGCCACUUGCAGGUAUCUACAAGGACCAGGUCAACUGUCACAAGUACAAGUGCAGACUUACCAGUGCCCAUGCCUCAACCUGGGCCUUCUACGGAACAAAUGCAUACGGAGCACGCAUAUCCAUUACCAGCUGAAGUUACACCUGACAGUAGGAUUUCUGAGCUGGGAACCCAGGUGGAAUCAUUACGUAGAAAGCUCAAGAACACAAAGGCCAGAGAGAAGAGGGCAAAAGAAACGACCCAAUCAUUGCUG